CAACUACAUCGUUAGGUUUUUCUUUUCCUCUCUUCCUCUCGAUUUCCGCCGCGCCGAUCGCGCUUCUCUGGAGGGGAACGUUCAGUCUUUUCUCAGAGACACACUCUUUGCCGUUUGAGUUGCCCUAAAACCAAUCUCCUUGGAGAACACAAAGUUUUGUGUCUGCAGAUUAUUUUGAAGGCAAUAUCUGAGUAAAAAAACAAAGGAAUCAUGGAUACUACUGUUUCAUUGGUAGCAGUUCCAGAAACUGGUGUUACACUUCAUAUAGACCCAACAGAAGAAGAAGAAGAUUCACCACCACAUGAAAAUAUGAGUGGUUCCAGUAGAAAAAAAUCAAAAAGAAGAAAGAAGAAGAAGAAGAAGAAGAAGAUAGAGGAAGCUUUGUGUGAAGAAGAGAAGACGUUGGAUGUUUCAGUAAAAAACACCGAGGAAGAUCAACUGCAUCUACCCAAGAAUCCUUUGUCCAACAUUACAAUGCAAGAAGAUUCGUGCCAACAAGCCAAAGAUUCAUGUGAAAAGCCUGAAGAUUCACAGUCAGGUGCUGUUGAUAUGACUUCUUCUGAGAGAAAGAAGAAACGAAGAAAGAGAAAAAAAGACACUGAUAUAAAUGCGCCGAGGGAAAAUGGUGUUGAUACCGAUUCGGAGGUUGCUACUAAACGCGAUGCCAGGCACAGUUCUGAAGCUCAAGGAUCGACAUUGAAUACAGAAGAAAAAAUUGUUGAGAGUACUGUGGUAAACGGCUGUCUGAAAUCCAAGGAUGAUACAGUGGAUCAACAAGAGGGCGCAGAUGCCAAAGCUGAUGAUACUGUGUCCGAAACUCAGAAUCCUAGAGCCAAGAAAAAGAAGAGGAGAAAAACCAAAACAACGGAGGUCUGCGACGCAUUAGAAAAGACUCUAGCAACCACCAUGGAAAGUGGGCCAGUGGAGUGUAUGGAAACUUCUGCUGGUGUACGUGAAGUAAAGACUAAAAAACGGAAGAGAAAGAAGAAGAAAACGUCACAUGAAGAUAUGGAGGUCUGUGAUCCAUCAGACAAUACUUUACUAGCCACCAUAGAGAGUGAACCAGUAGAGUGUUCGUUGGAUCAUCCAAACAAAGAAGGUUUGGAAAAUUGUGAUAAGAAUGCUGGAACAGUUGAAGAAAAGACAGAAGAUGAAAAUGGUGAACCCAAACAAAAGAGGAGGAAGAAGAAGAAGAAAAAGUCUUGUGAAGAUCAUGAUACUGAUGCGAAGAAAGAUGAUGUUUCUGUACCUAGGAGUGAGGGAGAACUAGAAUGUAAGGGGGGAAAGCCUGAUACGCAUUUGUCAAGUUAUGGGGGAAAGAUUGAUACGCAUUUGUCAAGUUCUGUCUUAAUACACGAUAAUAUCAUGACUCAAGGAGUUGCCUCACAGGAAACUGGAGAUCUACCUAGAUGCUCAUGCAAAGGUCAAAGUACCAGAAAGCUUGUUGUGUUUGAUUUGAAUGGAAUCCUUGCAGAUAUUGCUCGUGGGCAUACAGGUGAAUUCGUUCCAGAUGGUAAAAUAUCUUUCAGAUCAGUUUUCAAGAGACCCUUUGUUGAUACCUUUCUUGACUUCUGCUUUGAAAGAUUUGAUGUUGGGAUAUGGUCUUCUAGACGCAUUGGAUUGAAUUAUAUGACAGACAUCGUCAUGGGAAAUCAUGCGAAAAAUUUACUAUUUAGUUUCGAUCAAAAUAUAUGCAUUACAACAGACUUCAAAACUCUGGAGAAUACUACUAAACCUCUGUUCCUUAAAGAUCUAAGAACAGUCUGGGAUCGUUUUGGGACAUGUCUUAGUUGUGGAAAACGAAAGUACGAUGAGUCAAACACUUUGCUUGUCGACGAUUCACCGGACAAGGCCUUGUGUAAUCCUCCACACACUGGAAUCUUUCCUUUCCCGUACCAGUACACAGACCGUGAAGAUUGUGCAUUGGGACCUGAUGGUGAGCUAAGAAAGUACAUGGAAAGGUUAGUGGAUGCGGAGAACGUUCAGAAGUUUGUGGAGGAGAAUCCUAUUGGUCAAUCUGCAAUAACGGAGACGCAUGAAUCAUGGAGUUUCUACUCUAGGGUCAUCAAGGCUCAUAAAAACUAAAAUCAAUCCAGGGGAUUUUUAACUGAGUAACUCCUCACUGUUUAUUUGCUUCUUGAGAGCUCACAACAAGAAAAAGAAGAAGAUAAUAAUGUGGAUAUGUGAAGUCUCAAGGAGAGGACAGAAGUCACAUGCAGAGGGAGACAUCUGAAGAACAGAGUUUUAACAAAUCAUAUCCACUUGCCACAAUCUCUCUCUCUCUCUCAUCUAACAUCAUUUAUAAUUCUAUUAUUCAUCAGAGAAAUGUUUUGUAUUGUUCUCUGAGCAGAAACAGAGAGGUAAAAAAAACCAGAGUAGCACUUGUCAGAGAUUCCUUUGUUCCCUCUGCCUCUUCGUCUUCUUCUUGGCUUCAUCAGUUUCUCAGUAUCUAAAUACUUUCCGUCUUGUUUUCUUGGGUGUUUCUGAGAUUCUUUAAAGUACAUUUUCUAAAUCUUCUUCUACUGUUGGUGGAUUCUUACACAAAGACCCUCCUUUGUUCUGUAAUAGCCAGAGCUUUUUAGUGUCAAUUAGAUAGUUCACGACAAUACGUUUUGAGUUUCUUUUUUUAUUUGUCGUUGAUCUGGAACUUAAGCUGGAGAGCAAUGGCGUUCACAUUGAGUU